rnacentral:tRNA from 1 species
GCGGGUGUAACUCAGUGGUAGAGUCCCACGUUGCCAACGUGGUUGUCGUGAGUUCGAAUCUCAUCACCCGCUCCA